CCCACCGACCCCGACAUCAUCAAAAUGCUUCCUGUUGCGAACCAGUAAUAAAGGACCAAGUGAUGACAAAUUCCUUCCCCAUCAGCAAAGAGAGUGGAAUAGUAAGGACCUGGAGAAGUGACAAGGGAAGUUAGCUACAGUUGCUCAAAACAGUAUCCUGUCAUCAAUGUAUCUCCAAACACACUCAACCUAUUUUAUUAUCGAGUAGAACGUUUUAAUAGAAGAAAAAACUAAUUUAUUAUCGAAUAGAACAUUUUAAUGGAAGAAAAAGCAUUGAGAAGAUAAACCAAUUCAAGAAAUGUCAAGUUUAACUUUAUAUGAAGUUCCCCAUCAGGUUUUGAAAGAAAGUCAAGGCCAUGGGGCUCUGCAGCUGUGCUGAGAAGAAUGAGGAGGUAUCUUCUGUUCCAGACGGUACCUGAUUGGAUGUGGGGUGGACAUGUGGGAGAGGGGCAAGGUCCUGAACUUUCUUUUUGGUGUGGAAAUCCCGGAAGCUGUCAGAUUCGGGUUUUCCCAGAUGUGCCAAUAUGACAUCUCUAAUAAAAGUUAGCUUUGAGGAACUUCAAGCCUUGGAGUUUGAUUUCGUUGGGGGUGUUACCUGGAACCCUGACAGCUGCAGAAACAGCUUUUACCAAAUAGUCACUGGAGAUAUAGGGCUGCAUGUUUACAGGGUGCCUG